UAUAUUUAAGUGUAAUCAUGCACAUAGAAUUUUGGUAUCUAAGGGAACAAAUUAUUGUUGUUAAAUAUAA
rnacentral:tRNA from 1 species